ensembl:miRNA Gm22117 predicted gene, 22117
AUGCAUGUAUGUGUGUAUGUAUGCAUGCAUGCAUGCAUGCAUGUGUGUAUGUAUGCAUGUAUGUGUGUAUG